rnacentral:rRNA from 1 species
GACGAACGCUGGCGGCGUGCCUAAUACAUGCAAGUCGAGCGCAGGAAGCUGACGGAACUCUUCGGAGAGAAGGCAGUGGAAUGAGCGGCGGACGGGUGAGUAACACGUAAGGAACCUGCCUCAAGGAUUGGGAUAACUCCGAGAAAUCGGAGCUAAUACCGGAUAGUUACACGGACCGCAUGGUCCGCUGAUGAAAGGCGCUUCGGCGUCACCUUGAGAUGGCCUUGCGGUGCAUUAGCUAGUUGGUGGGGUAACGGCCCACCAAGGCGACGAUGCAUAGCCGACCUGAGAGGGUGAUCGGCCACACUGGGACUGAGACACGGCCCAGACUCCUACGGGAGGCAGCAGUAGGGAAUCUUCCACAAUGGACGAAAGUCUGAUGGAGCAACGCCGCGUGAGUGAUGAAGGUUUUCGGACCGUAAAACUCUGUUGUAAGGGAGGAACACGUACGAGAGGGAAUGCUCGUACCUUGACGGUACCUUACGAGAAAGCCACGGCUAACUACGUGCCAGCAGCCGCGGUAA